rnacentral:tRNA from 1 species
AUUAAUAUAGUUUUUUCAAAAAUACUGCUUUGUGGAGGUGGGGAUGCUUGUGCUAUUAAUC